CCCACUGCCCCCCCCGGCUCCGCGCUUCCGUGCCCUCCCCGGGCGCCGCUUCUCUCUAUGGAGACGUCGGAGCCCCGUGGGACACCGGGCCGCGGAGGGGGCUCGGCAGCGGGGGUAGCCCAGUACAGCCCGGCGACCCGGGAGCUGCUGAGAGUGAUGAUGGAGGAGACGAAGCUGACGCGUUUCCAGAGGCGGUACCUGAUGGACUGCAUGAAACGAGGAGAUACCCUGCCUCUCCAGUGCUACCCCACAUCCUGCAAAAAGCCAGCGCCUGCAGCGCCUGCUUUCUCCCCAGCAGUUUGUCAGCCGAGCAGGCUUUCAGCUAAACCGCAUCUCCGACCUGCCAAGGUCUGCCAGGCAGGAGAUGCCUACACGCGAGAGAAAUUCAAGCCACAGGCAAGGCGAGAUUUGGAAAAGGAGAAGCAGCGGCUCCAAAACAUCUUAGCGACAGGGAAGGAUGUGGUGGAGUGCAACGUGAGACAGACGCUGGUUCGGACAAAGGAAGAGGAGAUACCUGAGCCUGACCGGUUUGAAGAAUUGGUGAAUGAAGUUCAGGAGAGGAAGGAGUUCCUGGCAGAGAUGGAAGCUCUAGGACAGGGCAAGAAGUAUCAAAGUAUUGUCCUCACUGAAAUCUCACAGAAAAUGCGUGAGAUGGAGAUCAUUGACAAGAAGAGAAGUGAGGAAAUGAGAGAGAUUAUGACAAAAGACUUCCCUGGUGGGAAGUCUUUUUUCCUUGCUGGGAAAUCUGAUCCCCUGGACUAGGCCAAGGGAAAAACACAGGUGCAAUUUGUUCCCACCUCUUCUUCCCAGACUCUUGGCAUCGGAGUCUCAAGGGCUGCUCUGUGUCUGUGCCUGAAGAGACAGCGGCCCCACCUGUUGCCUAAAGCCAGGAGCAAUUUGUUCGUAACUGGUAACAGAAGAAAGCUGUUGUAAAAUCAUACCCACGCACUAGAUCCCUUCUUCCUCAACAAUAUUAAAGACACAGCAGCGGCCACCAAAACAUGACAAAGCAGAGCCUCCUUUUGCCUAUACAACGCUUCAGAGCGCAACAAUCCACUGAUAAAAAGGUCACUCCUUUCCAUCCACCUAGAGGUGGAGGUUUCUUGUGGCAGUGUGAUGAUAACACAUGUGUUACGACCCACAUCUACAACCCGCUCCUGUCCCCGUGACUCUGUGAAUGGCUGUGCUGGCAGAAGACGGGGAGGAAGAUGCAGCCGCGUGGCCUUGCAUAAGGACAAGCCUCCGGCAUUGCUGCAGAAAAUACCAGCUUGGGAACACAGGAGGAGCGAUGACAGCAAAGUUAUAUAUCAACUGCCCUCUAAACAUUCAUGACCUUAAUUUUGAAUGCCCUCACUUUCAGGAUAUGGGAGUGGUGCAGCUGGAAGCUUGAAUACUCCUUGGUGGCCCGGGCUGGGAUAGUAUUUUUUGACAAACAAAACUUCGUGUCCAUUCCACUCUGCCGCAGCAAACCAAAGCCUUUUUAGUAAACCGAGGCAAAUCUGCCUGGGAAAGCGGAUGUCAGCAGAGAGGAUGUGAAGCUCAAGAGGUAACAGGGGGGCUACCAAGCAGCAAGGGAAUACAAGGAGAUUUUUUCCCUAAUGCAGAAUUGCAGACUCUCAGCUUUUACCCGAGAUACUGAAGUCCAUCAGUACGGUGAUUUAAUGACCACAGUUUAUUCGGUUCCUCUCCACUGCAUUUUCCAGCUCCCUCUCCAAACAAGCCAAGCAGGACCUUGACGGUCUGCACCAUCCCACGUGCCGCUCUGUUGUGUGGCAUCCCCACGGCUCCGGGCACGUUCCCCGUACCAACGUACAAGGAGCACGGCCUCUCAGGCAUGGGGAAAAGCCACCCCAGGCACACCCCUUUUCUCUCUAUAAACUGCCUCCUCUGCAGAAAGACCAGAACUUGCCAUCCUGCAGCCCUGUGACACGCGGCCACAUGUCACAUUAUCUCCUUGCCCUGAUCUCAGCAGCCUUUCAUCCAGCCCUGCUCAGGCUCCUCUCCUGACAACGCACCAGUCCGAGGGAUCGGAUGUAAGAACAGGCGAGACUCCGGCCAUCCCAGUCGAACAACCAUCUUGACUCAGCAAGCCCCAGCGUCGCAGCAUAUCCUGGAGUAAUAUUUCCAUGCAAAUAACAUCCCAAGCGCUUACCUAAUUAGAUACAUACAGAGCCACUAAGCGCUCCGGGGUUUAGGGCAGCUGCCAGGGAGCACAGCAGACCCAGGGAAGGGGGAAGGGUGUGCCGUACAGCUAAAACCAGAGCAAAUUCCUGGAUUCCUCAAAUAUAAAUCAUGAGCAUUUUAACGGCAGCGCCGCAUAAUAGGCCCUUCAGCUUUCCAGGUCUUGUCAGGGAAAUGCAGGCAGUACAUGGGAAGGAACAAACAAGAUUUGUGAUGCUGCCUGUAACCGAACCCACGGCUCUGGGGACACAAUCCAACGUUUCUAAUGCACAGCGCUCAUCUCCUGUUUUCCUCAAGCCUCCAUCUCUCUCAGCACUCGAAAGGCAUGUGCCAUGCUCUCUUAUUCUUGGGUCAGGGAGGAUGCCAAGAACCUCCCCUGAGCUCCAGGGAGGCUGUACAGCUUGGGCCGCCGAAAGAUGCUUUUUGCUUCACUAAGCUGUGGCAAAUGCCUUGUAAACACUAAUUUCGUGCUUUAGAUUUCUAGAGCACUGAGCAAACAAACUCAUUAAUCCCCACGGUCCACUGUCAAGUUGGCCUGGACGCUUCCAGCUUAACUGACAAGGGAAAAGAAGAGAUUAAAUGUCUCGC